rnacentral:rRNA from 1 species
GGGAUUAGAUACCCCACUAUGCUUAGCCUUAAACCUAGAUGUUAAAUGUACAAACACAUCCGCCAGGGUACUACAAGCGCUAGCUUAAAACCCAAAGGACUUGACGGUGUCUCAGACCCACCUAGAGGAGCCUGUUCUAGAACCGAUAAUCCCCGUUAAACCUCACCACCCCUUGUUUUUCCCGCCUAUAUACCGCCGUCGCAAGCUUACCCUGUGAAGGACUAAUAGUAAGCAAAAUGGGUAAAUCCCAAAACGUCAGGUCGAGGUGUAGCUUACGAGGUGGGAAGAAAUGGGCUACAUUUUCUAUACCAGAAUAAUACGAACAGCGCCAUGAAACUGGUGCUAGAAGGUGGAUUUAGUAGUAAAAAACAAAUAGAGAGUCUUUUUGAACCAGGCUCUGAGACGCGCACACACCGCCCC